rnacentral:rRNA from 1 species
UACCUUUAAGACGAGGAUAACAACCGGAAACAGUUGCUAAGACUGGAUAGGAAAUAAAAAGGCAUCUUUUUAUUUUUAAAAGACCUUUUUCGGAAGGUAUGCUUAAAGAUGAGCUUGCGCCACAUUAGUUUGUUGGUGGGGUAAUGGCCUACCAAGACGAUGAUGUGUAGCUGGACUGAGAGGUCGAACAGCCACAUUGGGACUGAGACACGGCCCAAACUCCUACGGGAGGCAGCAGUAGGGAAUUUUCGGCAAUGGAGGAAACUCUGACCGAGCAACGCCGCGUGAACGAUGAAGUAUUUCGGUAUGUAAAGUUCUUUUAUUGAAGAAGAAAAAAUAGUGGAAAAACUAUCUUGACGUUAUUCAAUGAAUAAGCCCCGGCUAACUAUGUGCCAGCAGCCGCGGUAAGACAUAGGGGGCGAGCGUUAUCCGGAAUUAUUGGGCGUAAAGGGUGCGUAGGCGGUUAGGAAAGUCUAUAAUUUAAUUUCAGUGCUUAACGCUGUCUUGUUAUAGAAACUACCUUGACUAGAGUUAGAUAGAGGCAAGCGGAAUUCCAUGUGUAGCGGUAAAAUGUGUAAAUAUAUGGAGGAACACCAGAAGCGUAGGCGGCUUGCUGGGUCUUGACUGACGCUGAGGCACGAAAGCGUGGGUAGCAAACAGGAUUAGAUACCCUGGUAGUCCACGCCGUAAACGAUGAGUACUAAGUGUCGGGAUAAAACUCGGUACUGAAGUUAACACAUUAAGUACUCCGCCUGAGUAGUACGUACGCAAGUAUGAAACUUAAAGGAAUUGACGGGACUCCGCACAAGCGGUGGAUCAUGUUGUUUAAUUCGAAGAUACACGAAAAAUCUUACCAGGUCUUGACAUGCUCUGCAAAGCUAUAGAAAUAUAGUGGAGGUUAUCAGGGACACAGGUGGUGCAUGGUUGUCGUCAGUUCGUGUCGUGAGAUGUUAGGUUAAGUCCUAAAACGAGCGCAACCCUUGUCGUUAGUUACCAGCACGUAAUGGUGGGCACUUUAACGAGACUGCCAAUUAAACAUUGGAGGAAGGUGAGGAUUACGUCAAAUCAUCAUGCCCCUUAUGAUCUGGGCUACAAACGUGAUACAAUGGCUGUUACAAAGAGUAGCUGAAGCGCGAGUUUUUAGCCAAUCUCAAAAAAGCAGUCUCAGUUCGGAUUGAAGUCUGUAACUCGACUUCAUGAAGUGGAAUCGCUAGUAAUCGCGAAUCAGCAUGUCGCGGUGAAUACGUUCUCGGGGUUUGUACACACCACCCGUCAAACC